rnacentral:rRNA from 1 species
AGAGUUUGAUUCUGGCUCAGGAUGAACGCUGGCGGCGUGCCUAAUACAUGCAAGUCGAACGGGAAGUAUAAAUUUCGAUUUUUACUUCUAGUGGCGAACGGGUGAGUAACGCGUUGGUGACCUGCCCCGAAGAGGGGGACAACUCCGCGAAAGCGGAGCUAAUACCCCAUGUGGUCUCUGAGAUUAGAAGCUCGGUGACUAAAGGAGCAAUCCACUUCGGGAGGGGCCUGCGUCCCAUCAGCUAGUUGGUAAGGUAACGGCCUACCAAGGCGAUGACGGGUAGGGGACCUGAGAGGGUGGUCCCCCACACUGGCACUGAAACACGGGCCAGACACCUACGGGUGGCAGCAGUAGGGAAUAUUGCACAAUGGGCGAAAGCCUGAUGCAGCAACGCCGCGUGCGCGAAGAAGGCCUUCGGGUUGUAAAGCGCUUUUCUGGAGGAAGAGGAAGGACGGUACUCCAGGAAUAAGGAUCGGCUAACUACGUGCCAGCAGCCGCGGUAACACGUAGGAUCCGAGCGUUAUCCGAAUUUACUGGGUGUAAAGCGCGUGUAGGCGGCCGGGUAAGUUGGACGUGAAAGCUCCUGGCUCAACUAGGAGAGGUCGUUCAAAACUGCCUGGCUAGAGGGCGACAGAGGGAGGUGGAAUUCCCGGUGUAGUGGUGAAAUGCGUAGAUAUCGGGAGGAACUCCAGUGGCGAAGGCGGCCUCCUGGGUCGCCCCUGACGCUCAGACGCGAAAGCUAGGGGAGCAAACGGGAUUAGAUACCCCGGUAGUCCUAGCUGUAAACGAUGUGAACUUGGCGUUGGUGGGGUCAAAUCCAUCAGUGCCGUAGCUAACGCGAUAAGUUCACCGCCUGGGGACUAC